GAAACCCUGAUCCAGCCAUGCCGCGUGUGUGAAGAAGGCCUUUUGGUUGUAAAGCACUUUAAGCAGUGAAGAAGACUCCGUGGUUAAUACCCACGGACGAUGACAUUAGCUGCAGAAUAAGCACCGGCUAACUCUGUGCCAGCAGCCGCGGUAAUACAGAGGGUGCAAGCGUUAAUCGGAAUUACUGGGCGUAAAGCGAGCGUAGGUGGCUUGAUAAGUCAGAUGUGAAAUCCCCGGGCUUAACCUGGGAACUGCAUCUGAUACUGUUAGGCUAGAAUAGGUGAGAGGAAGGUAGAAUUCCAGGUGUAGCGGUGAAAUGCGUAGAGAUCUGGAGGAAUACCGAUGGCGAAGGCAGCCUUCUGGCAUCAUAUUGACACUGAGGUUCGAAAGCGUGGGUAGCAAACAGGAUUAGAUACCCUGGUAGUCCACGCCGUAAACGAUGUCUACUAGUCGUUGGGUCCCUUGAGGACUUAGUGACGCAGCUAACGCAAUAAGUAGACCGCCUGGGGAGUACGGCCGCAAGGUUAAAACUCAAAUGAAUUGACGGGGGCCCGCACAAGCGGUGGAGCAUGUGGUUUAAUUCGAUGCAACGCGAAGAACCUUACCUGGUCUUGACAUAUCUAGAAUCCUGCAGAGAUGCGGGAGUGCCUUCGGGAAUUAGAAUACAGGUGCUGCAUGGCUGUCGUCAGCUCGUGUCGUGAGAUGUUGGGUUAAGUCCCGCAACGAGCGCAACCCUUGUCCUUAGUUACCAGCGGGUUAAGCCGGGAACUCUAAGGAUACUGCCAGUGACAAACUGGAGGAAGGCGGGGACGACGUCAAGUCAUCAUGGCCCUUACGACCAGGGCUACACACGUGCUACAAUGGUAGGUA
rnacentral:rRNA from 1 species